CCUACGUGUGGCAGCAGUGGGGAAUAUUGGGCAAUGGAGGAAACUCUGACCCAGCAACGCCGCGUGAAGGAUGAAGGUUUUCGGAUUGUAAACUUCUGUCGCGAGGGACGAAGAAUGACGGUACCUCGUAAGAAAGCCCCGGCAAACUACGUGCCAGCAGCCGCGGUAAUACGUAGGGGGCGAGCGUUGUCCGGAAUGACUGGGCGUAAAGGGAGUGUAGGCGGCUCUUUAAGUUAUAUGUGAAAUCCCGCGGCUCAACCGUGGAAGUGCAUAUACAACUGGGGAGCUGGAGUGCAGGAGAGGUGAGUGGAAUUCCGAGUGUAGCGGUGGAAUGCGUAGAUAUUAGGAGGAACACCAGUGGCGAAGGCGGCCUGCUGGACGACAACUGACGGUGAGGCGCGAAAGCGUGGGGAGCAAACAGGAUUAGAUACCCCGGUAGUC
rnacentral:rRNA from 1 species